CUCAUAAUGACGCCUCUAUUGGAGCGCGCACUGUCUCGAGCUUUUCUCCGAGCUUAGUGACGUCAGUUACCUCCUGGCAGCAAGCGAAGUCACUAUCCGAGUGGAGGCUCUUGAAAGAUACACAAGUAACCCAGUAGGAAAAGACAGACAGGGGAACACUCCCAGUAGGUACCGGGCACGUUAACUGUAAAACGGAAUAUUUUCCUCUAUUACAGCGGAAGAGUAGAAUUGAUCUUACCCCGGAGCUGGGGGUAACGUUCGCGAUACUCUACCGCAAUGGAUAGACUUUUAACUUGUCUAAUUGCUGCGGGCAGCGUAUUGCUUACAGUUCGAGCAGAAGUAUUCAAAGGGGACUGUGACUUUGAGGUGCCCUACACGGCAUGCGGCUACAGCCAGGGUAAGGACGAUGACUUUGAAUGGGAGCAGGCUAACACCAUGGAGAGGCCGUCGCCCAACCCCUGGAUGCCCACGGACUCUGCCUUCAUGAUGGUCAACACCAGCGGACGUUUCUCGGGCCAGAAGGCCCAGUUGCUCAUGCCCCAGCUCAAGGAGAACGACACCCACUGCCUCAUCUUCCAGUACUACGUAGCAGGACAGCGCGAGGGUGCCAACCCGGGCCAGCUUAACGUCUAUGUCAAGGAGAACAACAGUCCGCUGGGCAUCCCUGUGUGGAACGCGUCAGGGCCCGCCUACCCCACCUGGCGCCAGGUGGAACUGGCUGUCAGCACCUUCUGGCCCAACUUCUACCAGAUUGUCUUUGAGGCGGUGAGCACAGGACAAAGAGGUCUACUAGCCAUCAAGGAUGUCACACUGCAAGGCCAUCAGUGCAUGAGCACCCCCCACUUUCUCCAUAUCAAAGGUGUGGAGGUCAACGCCAGGCAGACUGCCACGUUCCAGUGCACCGUUAACGGUCGACCGCAAGACAGCCAUAACCUCUGGUUACAGGGUAUCGGAGGGAGACAGGCCCCGAUGAGAGAGACCAGGCCGGUGAACUCCCGCCGCUACAUCGCCACGUUCGACGUGGAGAACACCACCAAGGGAGACUCGGGCCGCUACCGCUGCAUCGUCCACUCAGACAUGGGCGUGGGCGUGUCCAGUUACGCUGACCUGACGGUCAAACAGCCCCCGGUGCCCAUCGCUCCGCCCCAGCUCACCGCCGUGGGUGCAACCUACCUGUGGAUCCAGCUCAACGCCAACUCCAUCAACGGUGACGGCCCCAUCGUGGAGCGAGAGGUCGAGUACCGCACGGUGGCAGGCAGCCUCAUCGACAACCAGCCCGUGGACAAGACCACACACAAAAUCGGCCACCUGGACCCCGACACGGAGUACGAGAUCAGCGUGCUGCUCACCCGGCCCCUGGACGGAGGAACUGGGGCCCCCGGACCCCCCCUGAGGGCCAAGACCAAGUGUGCUGACCCCAUGCACGGUCCCCGAAGACUGGAGGUGGUGGACAUCAAGUCCAAGCAGAUCACAGUGCGCUGGGAGCCCUUCGGCUACAACGUGACCCGCUGCCACAGCUACAACCUGACUGUUCAGUACCGCUACCGGGCCGGCGGCAAGGAGGAGACCCGGGAGGAGGUGUGCUACGACACGCUGAGUGUGGCUCCGCAGCACACCAUCCGGAACCUGUCGCCCUACACCAAUGUCAGUGUCAAGCUGGUGCUGAGGAACCCAGAAGGCAUCAAGCAGAGCACGAACGUAGGCGUGCUGACCGAUGAGGAUGUGCCUGGCGCUGUGCCACUUGAGUCCAUCCAGGGGAGCACGUACGAAGAGAAGAUCGCCCUGCGAUGGCGUGAGCCUGUCCAGACCUACGGUAUCAUUAAGCAGUAUGAGAUCUCCUACAAGGCCUUGAGCUCCUUCGACACGGAGUUUGACCUGACCAACCAGAGCGGCAAGGUGUUUAAGUUCAGCAACGAGACGUCCCACAUGUUUGUGGGUCUCUACCCCGGCUCCACAUACUCCUUCACCAUCCGGGCCAGCACCGUCAAGGGCUUUGGACCUCCCGUCAUCACCCAGUUCACCACCAAGAUCUCAGCUCCAUUGAUGCCAGGCUAUGACCAGGAGACUCCCCUGAACCAGACAGACAGCACGGUCACUGUCCUGCUGAAGCCUGCCCAGAGCAGAGGAGCCCCUGUCAGUAAGUACCAGGUGGUUGUGGAGGAAGAGCGCCCCCGGCGGGCGCGGAGGGUGGCAGAGAUCCUGCGCUGCUACCCGGUGCCCAUACACUUCCAGAACGCCACCGUGCUCAACUCACAGUAUUACUUCACGGCCGAGCUGCCCAUGGGCGACAUCAAAACCCCUGUACCCUUCUGCAUCGGAGACAACCGCACCUACAACGGCUACUGGAACGCCCCCCUCCUCCCCCACAAGAGCUACAGCAUCUACUACCAGGCUGUCAGCACAGCCAAUGGGGAGACCAAAAUCGAUUGUGUACGAGUGGCCACUAAAGCUGCCAUAAUCGUGACUCAGCUCACCACUCCCUACAUACGCAUCGCCCCCGCGGCUGGCGACAACCAACUAACAGGGACUGCGACCAGGAAGCCUGACGCAGUGGAGCCGGAGAAGCAGACAGAUCACACGGUAAAGAUCGCUGGAGUCAUCGCCGGUGUCUUGCUCUUCGUCAUCAUCUUCCUCGGUGUGGUGCUGGUCAUGAAGAAAAGAAGAACCUAUCACUCCUACACUUAUUACCUGAAAUUGGCCAAGAAGCGCAAGGAGACUAUGAGCAGCACGCGGCAGGAGAUGACGGUGAUGGUGAACUCCAUGGACAAGAGCUACACGGAGCAGGGCACCAACUGUGACGAGGCCAUCUCCUUCAUGGACACCCACAGCCACACACUCAACGGGAGAACCAUUUCCUCGCCCUCGUCAUUCACCAUGAAGACUAACACACUCAGCACGUCUGUACCCACCUCCUACUACCCAGAUCCCUUUGUGCCAACCGCUAUCUUGGAUGAGAACCACACCAUGACCAGUGACACCAGUAGUCUGGUCCAGUCCCACAGCCACUCCUAUAAGAAGAAGAGGGAGGUGGCGGAUGUUCCUCCCUACCAGACCGGUCAGCUCCACCCGGCCAUCCGCGUGGCCGACCUGCUCCAGCACAUCACCCAGAUGAAGUGUGCCGAGGGCUACGGCUUUAAGGAGGAGUAUGAGAGCUUCUUUGAAGGACAGUCUGCACCAUGGGACUCUGCCAAGAAAGACGAGAACAGGAUGAAGAACCGAUACGGAAACAUCAUUGCAUAUGAUCACUCCCGCGUCCGGCUGCAGGCUAUCGAGGGAGAGCAGAGCUCCGAUUACAUUAAUGCAAAUUACGUGGAUGGCUACCACAGGCCAAAUCACUACAUUGCUACCCAAGGGCCCAUGCAAGAGACAGUCUAUGAUUUCUGGAGGAUGGUGUGGCAUGAGAACACUGCAACCAUUGUCAUGGUGACCAACCUGGUGGAGGUGGGCAGGGUGAAGUGCUGUAAGUACUGGCCUGACGACACUGAGAUCUACAGGGACAUGAAGGUGACCCUCAUCGAGACCCAGCUGCUGUCAGAGUACGUCAUCAGGACCUUCGCCGUGGAAAAGAGGGGAGCCCAUGAGAUCCGGGAGAUCCGUCAGUUCCACUUCACGGGCUGGCCGGACCACGGGGUGCCCUACCACGCCACCGGCCUGCUUGGCUUCGUACGCAGGGUCAAGUCCAAGACCCCUGCCAAUGCCGGGCCCAUGGUAGUCCACUGCAGUGCGGGGGCGGGCAGGACCGGCUGUUUCAUUGUGAUUGACAUCAUGCUGGACAUGGCUGAGAGAGAGGGUGUGGUCGACAUCUACAACUGUGUGAGAGAGUUACGCUCACGGAGGGUUAACAUGGUCCAGACAGAGGUAAGAAUGACCCUGUCCCUGCUCAAACCCAAAUACAGAGAGAGAGAGACAUGCACACAGAGAUGUACACACACACAUACACAAACAGACACACACACACCACUGCACGACCCUUCUCCAAGUGUCUCUACUUGCUUCCACUGUACACAAUCCCAAACACACCACACGCACUCGCGCAUACACAGUCUUGUAUAACUAACCUUGUAUGGACACACAGUUCAAUCUUAUUCAAAAUCCAAUUUUUCCUAAACCUAACCUUAACCCGAAAACCUAACCCAAGCACUUACACCUAGCACCUACACCUAACCCUAAAACGCUAACCUUAACCCUACAACACACAAGUGUAGUUAAACACGUCCACACUCACACACACAUUCCCCAAACAGGCACAUUUCAUUCUGUCAAUACAUGAUACACAUGAAACCAUGGACCAUACAGGACAGGGUGUGUAUUCUCAAACACAAUGUGACAGACUUGUAGUGUCUACAAUUUCUUGACUCUUCUUUUGUAUCUAAAAUUCCACUGGCACAACCAAUCCCAAACAUCUGGCCAAACAGACAAUGUGACACAAUGAUACUUGACAAGGAACAUGAGCCAACUCAUUAGCCCUGUGCAAAUAUUAUUCAGCUCAGAGAAAAAAUGCAACAGACUAGUGUUUGCUUUUAAAGAUAGUUAAUAGCUGAUGAGUUAGAUUGCAUAAACAUGCUAAAGUUCCAACUACUAACUCCCUGACCAUACUAUAUUAAUGCACAAUAAACAAGUGUCUAAUGUCGUGCUGUAUGCGAGCUUUACUUUGUUUGAUUCCCAUGACAUAUACUUUUAAUUGAUGUGAACUGGCAAAUUCAUAGCUCAAAAACUAUUCAAAGUUUACUUGGAACACAUGCUGUAUCUUAUAAAUGACAUUCUUCUUCCCGUUGCACAAAAAAAGCUAGUUUGUGUCUUGUCGUCAUAUUUCGUAAUAUUUUGAUGAUAAUAACCGGGUAGGCUGCAAAUCCAUUUCACCUCCAACUCCAUAUCCAAGGACAGGAGUCUGACAUCACAGUAGCCUAACCUGAAAACCACUGACCCUCAGCUCCCAAGGAUUUUGUCAGAAGUGACAAGUCGAGACGUUUCUGAAAUGUCACUUCAUAAAUGAUUUACGUCAAGCCCGGGGCCUUUUUCCUAAGAGAAGGAGAGGAAUAGAGGGAGAAGAGAGAGGGAGUGGUAGUAUUGACAGAGGGAAGAGAGAGUGUGGUAGUAUUGACAGAGGGAAGAGAGAGAGUGGUAGUAUUGACAGAGGGAAGAGAGAGUGGUAGUAUUGACAGAGGGAAGAGAGAGAGUGGUAGUAUUGACAGAGGGAAGAGAGAGAGUGGUAGUAUUGACAGAGGGAAGAGAGAGAGUGGUAGUAUUGACAGAGGGAAGAGAGAGAGUGGUAGUAUUGACAGAGGGAAGAGAGAGAGUGGUAGUAUUGACAGAGGGAAGAGAGAGAGUGGUAGUAUUGACAGAGGGAAGAGAGAGAGUGGUAGUAUUGACAGAGGGAAGAGAGAGAGAGGUAGUAUUGACAGAGGGAAGAGAGAGUGGUAGUAUUGACAGAGGGAAGAGAGAGAGUGGUAGUAUUGACAGAGGGAAGAGAGAGUGGUAGUAUUGACAGAGGGAAGAGAGAGAGUGGUAGUAUUGACAGAGGGAAGAGAGAGAGUGGUAGUAUUGACAGAGGAAAGAGUGAGAGAGGUAGUCUUGACAGAGGAAAGAGAGAGAGAGGGUGGUAGUAUUGACAGAGGAAAGAGAGAGAGAGAGUAGUAUUGAAAGAGAGAGUAGUAGUAUUGACAGAGGAAAGAGAGAGUGGUAGUAUUGACAGAGGGAAGAGAGAGUGGUAGUAUUGACAGAGGGAAGAGAGAGAGUGGUAGUAUUGACAGAGGAAAGAGAGAGAGUGGUAGUAUUGACAGAGGAAAGAGAGAGAGAGGGUAGUCUUGACAGAGGAAAGAGAGAGAGUGGUAGUAUUGACAGAGGAAAGAGAGAGAGUGGUAGUCUUGACAGAGGAAAGAGAGAGAGUGGUAGUAUUGACAGAGGAAAGAGAGAGAGUGGUAGUAUUGACAGAGGAAAGAGAGAGUGUGGUAGUAUUGACAGAGGGAAGAGAGAGAGUGGUAGUAUUGACAGAGGAAAGAGUGAGAGAGGUAGUCUUGACAGAGGAAAGAGAGAGAGAGGGUGGUAGUAUUGACAGAGGAAAGAGAGAGAGAGAGUAGUAUUGAAAGAGAGAGUAGUAGUAUUGACAGAGGGAAGAGAGAGUGGUAGUAUUGACAGAGGGAAGAGAGAGAGAGGUAGUCUUGACAGAGGAAAGAGAGAGAGAGGGUGGUAGUAUUGACAGAGGAAAGAGAGAGAGAGAGUAGUAUUGAAAGAGAGAGUAGUAGUAUUGACAGAGGAAAGAGAGAGUGGUAGUAUUGACAGAGGGAAGAGAGAGAGUGGUAGUAUUGACAGAGGAAAGAGUGAGAGAGAGUGUGGUAGUAUUGACAGAGGAAAGAGAGAGUGGUAGUAUUGAAAGACGGAGAGAGUGGUAGUAUUGACAGAGGGAAGAGAGAGUGGUAGUAUUGACAGAGGAAAGAGAGAGAGAGUGGUAUUAUUGACAGAGGAAAGAGAGAGAGAGAGAGUGGUAGUAUUGACAGAGGAAAGAGAGAGAGAGAGAGAGAGAGAGAGUGGUAGUAUUGACAGAGGAAAGAGAGAGAGGAGAGAGAGAGAGAGAGAGAGAGUGGUAGUAUUGACAGAGGAAAGAGAGCGAGAGAGAGUAGUAGUAUUGACAGAGGAAAGAGAGAGAGAGUGGUAGUAUUGACAGAGGAAAGAGAGAGAGAGAGUGGUAGUAUUGACAGAGGAAAGAGAGAGAGAGAGAGAGAGAGUGUAGUAGUAUUGACAGAGGAAAGAGAGAGAGAGAGUGGUAGUAUUGACAGAGGAAAGAGAGAGAGAGAGUGGUAGUAUUGACAGAGGAAAGAGAGAGAGAGAGUGGUAGUAUUGACAGAGGAAAGAGAGAGAGAGAGAGAGAGAGAGAGAGUAGUAGUAUUGACAGAGGAAAGAGCGAGAGAGAGGUAGUAUUGACAGAGGAAAGAGAGAGAGAGAGAGAGAGAGUGUAGUAGUAUUAACAGAGGAAAGAGCGAGAGAGAGGUAGUAUUGACAGAGGAAAGAGAGAGAGAGAGAGAGAGUAGUAGUAUUGACAGAGGAAAGAGAGAGAGAGAGUGGUAGUAUUGACAGAGGAAAGAGAGAGAGAGAGAGAGAGAGUGUAGUAGUAUUGACAGAGGAAAGAGAGAGAGAGAGGUAGUAUUGACAGAGGAAAGAGAGAGAGAGAGAGAGAGAGAGUAGUAGUAUUGACCGAGGAAAGAGAGCGAGAGAGUAGUAGUAUUGACAGAGGAAAGAGAGAGAGAGAGUAGUAGUAUUGACAGAGGAAUGAGAGCGAGAGAGUGGUAGUAUUGACAGAGGAAAGAGAGAGAGAGAGAGAGAGUAGUAGUAUUGACAGAGGAAAGAGAGAGAGAGAGAGUGGUAGUAUUGACAGAGGAAAGAGAGCGAGAGAGAGUAGUAGUAUUGACAGAGGAAAGAGAGAGAGAGAGAGUAGUAGUAUUGACAGAGGAAAGAGAGAGAGAGAGAGUGGUAGUAUUGACAGAGGAAAGAGAGAGAGAGAGUGGUAGUAUUGACAGAGGAAAGAGAGAGAGAGAGAGUAGUAGUAUUGACAGAGGAAAGAGAGAGAGAGAGAGAGAGAGAGAGAGAGAGAGAGAGAGAGAGAGAGAGAGUGGUAGUAUUGACAGAGGAAAGAGAGCGAGAGAGAGUAGUAGUAUUGACAGAGGAAAGAGAGAGAGAGAGUAGUAGUAUUGAAAGAGAGAGAGAGAGAGUGAGUGGUAGUAUUGACAGAGGAAAGAGAGAGAGAGUGUGGUAGUGUUGACAGAGGAAAGAGAGAGAGAGAGUGGUAGUAUUGACAGAGGAAAGAGUGAGAGAGUGUGGUAGUGUUGACAGAGGAAAGAGAGAGAGAGUGGUAGUAUUGACAGAGGAAAGAGAGAGAGAGAGAGAGAGAGUGGUAGUAUUGACAGAGGAAAGAGAGCGAGAGAGAGUAGUAGUAUUGACAGAGGAAAGAGAGAGAGAGAGAGUAGUAGUAUUGACAGAGGAAAGAGAGAGAGAGAGUAGUAGUAUUGACAGAGGAAAGAGAGAGAGAGUAGUAGUAUUGACAGAGGAAAGAGAGAGAGAGAGUAGUAGUAUUGACAGAGGAUAGAGAGAGAGAGAGUGGUAGUAUUGACAGAGGAAAGAGAGAGAGAGAGAGUGGUAGUAUUGACAGAGGAAAGAGAGAGAGAGAGAGAGAGAGAGUAGUAGUAUUGACAGAGGAAAGAGAGAGGGAGAGAGUGGUAGUAUUGACAGAGGAAAGAGUGAGAUAGAGUGGUAGUAUUGACAGAGGAAAGAGAGAGAGAGAGUAGUAGUAUUGAAAGAGAGAGAGAGAGAGAGAGAGUGGUAGUAUUGACAGAGGAAAGAGAGAGAGAGAGAGAGUGGUAGUAUUGACAGAGGAAAGAGAGAGAGAGAGAGAGAGAGAGAGAGAGUAGUAGUAUUGACAGAGGAGAGAGAGAGUGGUAGUAUUGACAGAGGAAAGAGAGAGAGAGAGAGAGUAGUAGUAGUAUUGACAGAGGAAAGAAAGAGAGAGAGAGAGUGGUAGUAUUGACAGAGGAAAGAGAGAGAGAGAGUAGUAGUAGUAGUGUUGACAGAGGAAAGAGAGAGGGAGAGAGUGGUAGUAUUGACAGAGGAAAGAGAGAGAGAGUGUGGUAGUGUUGACAGAGGAAAGAGAGAGAGAGUGUAGUAGUAUUGACAGAGGAAAGAGUGAGAGAGAGUGGUAGUAUUGACAGAGGAAAGAGAGAGAGAGAGAGAGAGAGUGGUAGUAUUGACAGAGGAAAGAGAGAGAGAGUGUGGUAGUGUUGACAGAGGAAAGAGAGAGAAAGAGAGAGAGUAGUAGUAUUGACAGAGGAAAGAGAGAGAGAGUGUGGUAGUGUUGACAGAGGAAAGAGAGAGAGAGUGGUAGUUUUGAGAGAGGAAAGAGAGAGAGAGUAGGAGAGAGAGAGAGAGAGAGAGAGAGAGAGAGAGAGAGAGAGAGAGAGAGAGAGGUAGUAAUGACAGAGGA